CGCCUUGCGUCUACAGCCCAAGCGUUAAGCGACAGGCUGAUGGCUGGUGGCUUUUGCCACCGGCCU
rnacentral:sRNA from 1 species